rnacentral:lncRNA from 1 species
AUGUGUCUGUCGGCGAGACCUUCAGAAGGACAAAACGUCACCGUGAUCUCCGCUACUGAGAGCUGCCCCGCGGUCGGUGUCACAGGAUUUCCGCCAGCUUGUGCUUAUCUUCUAGAUGAAUCUCCCAGGGAGAAAAAGUGCGACAGGGACACACAGGUUUCURUGUGGAUUCCAAGGAAGUCACAAUGUGAGGGCCCACGAGUGAGCAGAUUAGUUUCAGCUGCCAUUCCAGUCUUGCCUGAGAUGGAGAGGUCCAGGGUUUGUCCUGUGAGGUCACACGGAAGAAAGAAGGAAGCAGAGAUGGCCACAAAGGAGUACUCACUGAAACAGAACAACUUCAAAACUGCUGAUUCCUAG